GGUUCUGUGGUGUAAUGGUUAUCACUUCGGACCCUGAAUCCGGGAUUCCGAGUUCAAUUCUCGGUAGAACCU
rnacentral:tRNA from 1 species